GUCUCUUUUCAGUGUCCCGUGUAAUUCUAACCUCCUGCAAGCCUGUUCAGGACUGUCACCUCUUGUAGCCGACCCUUCUUUAUUAUUUGUGGAAAAUUCUCCAUGUCUACAUCUGGAAUUGCUCAAAGAUCAACUUCAGAGAGCCACCAUCAAAUUGAGAGAAAAAGACAGGCAGUGAAGAAAACAAAGGGCUACUGGAGAUUUGAGAACUAGGUAUUUAAAAGCAUGGGUGUGGUUACUGGCCUGUGGAGCCGACUGGAAACAAAUAGAGAAGAAGCCUCUUAAGUAUUUGAGAGAAGUGUACUGCCAAAGAAACCACAAACCUGGACUGAAGGGGCCUUUGACUGUAGAAGCUGAAAAUGGCCUUUGUGCUCAGAAGCCUAAGUGAAUAAGGAGCCUGAGGAGGCUGCUAUACAGCCCUGAGACUUAUUUCCAGGUGCAAUCAAAGAAGGCAAUGGGGAGAAAAAGAACUGCCAAAGGGUGGAUGUUGAAGACACACACAGGCAGAUUCUUUACCAUCUGAGCCAGCAGGAAUUGUCUUCUUUCUAAAAUAAAGAUUGGAGUGAACCACUUAAAUAAGAAACCAAAGCUGCUCACAAUAAAGACUACUUAAUAUAGGCUCACCUAGGAGAGUGCUGAGAAGUCCUUUUUGCAAAUUCUGCUCCCCUGAAACUGACUCUCAUGCCCCCAAAAUUGUUCCGAAAUUGUGAGAGAUGGAUCUGAGAACGCUGUCUGGGCUUGGUGCCAAGUGCUGGCAUUCCACAGCAGCGACCGCCUCACAGCCGGGCUGUGGGAAGCAGGAGGGAGACUCUCUUAGGGUGCCACUACUAUGGAGACACAGCUGGGCUGAACAAGAUUUGCUUCAAACGACAACAAGAGAGACAGAAAGUAUCUGGUUCAACCGCUGCCCAAGCAGGCAGGCACCAGAAGAGCUAGCAGCCAAUCCGGCCAUGCUCGAAGCCAGCUCUGCAGCUCAGCCAAUCAGUGACAUCACUGGUCAUUAGGAAUUUUGUUGGGAUAAUUGUCCAAAUGAAUUUGAAGCAUUCUAUUCAAAUGUCUACAGAUGCACGGCUGGUGGUGUGGCUCAGACGGAGCAAGGGUUACAUCAAGGCUGUUCUCUGGACCAUGCAAACAGUCUAGACCAAUGACCUGCAGCUUCAUGCCCUUUGAAGAAGAGGCAAGUUCGGUCAUGAUGAAGAAAAAUCAAGGCGUACCCCUUUUAACAAUAAGGAGCAGCUCGAGGCUGCAAAGAGGCGUUCGUGGCUGCUUUUGAGAAAGAAAACUAUUGAUGUCAGGAUCUGAAAAGUGAAGAGAAUGAAACACAGAAUAUGGAUAUCCUUGAAGAUUAAUCAGAGAGCCUCUUAUGUGCCUCUAAAGGCAUUUGAACUGGGCAAACAGGACGGCAGCAGCAGUGAGCGUGAGAUCAUUGCAGCAGUGUAGCAAACUGGCACCCUGCCUUCUCACCCUUUUGGUUCAGGAGACAAACGUGUGCAAUCCUCAUUUCUAAAGUCAGCAGAGCCUGGAAGGAUUCCUGGUCUCUCCCACCUUCUACCAUUCUUCUGCCAGGGACGGCAAGGAUUGGUGCAGCUUCUGCGCAGCGCUUUGUGCCUGCAAUACCGAGAAGGAAGAAAAAGAAGACAAGCACCCUGGUCCUCUUUUUUUCCCAAGAAAUAACAGGAGGCAUGAAGAAAAAAUCUGAGUUUGUCCUAUUCCAUGCAACAGUGCUGAAAAAAAGAGAGAGAGAGAGAGAGAUGCUCCUGCUCAAAAACAAAAACAAACAAACAAAAAUCCAAACCAAAACAAACUAAAAAAAAAAAGCAAACAUUGGCUUGUAUUUAACUACAGAGACAUCGCGCUUUGUAAAGCAGCUUUGUAAGGCAGCAUAAGCAAAUGAGCCUUCUGUAUUUGUAUUAUUGCAAAAAUAUGGCAUAAUAAGCAAUUUAUUGCACUUGGUGAAAUCGCACCUUUCGUAUCAGGUAUAACUUUUUUUGUUGUUGUUUCUUUUUAAGUCUACUGUUCUAUGAAAGGGGGUCCUUGCACUUUCAGUUUACUCUUGUAACUCAUCUCCCACUUUAUUCUUAUUAACUUUUUCCUUUUGCUCUCUUGCUCUAAUCCUGAGUAGACUAGAAACUUUAGCAAAACUAGAAAAAUCUCUAUGAAAAAGACGGUACCUGUUUUAGUUUCUGUUAUACAUAGAAGCUUUGGAAAAGCAUUAAUAUGUUAUCUGUGCUUUUUGUGUACAGUAUUACUUUUUGCUGUCUAAGAAAAGUGAACAUUUAGCCCUAGAUGGUAAAGAAACUAAAUCUUUACUGUGAUGUGACUCAUAAUUUGAAAUAUGAAAGAAGAAACUUUUUGAACUCCUAAAACAGGGUUGUGUUCGAAUGUGUAUUAAAAUUCUCUAAUAAGUGAAAUUUAGUUUGAGGGAAGUUAUAUUUAAUUUACUUACCAAGAUUUCAUGUGACAAAAUAAGGAUGAAAAGAUCAUGUUCUCAGUUACUAAGUAGAAAAAGGGCUUGUUCCACAAUAAUACUGACUUUUAAAAUAUAUUUAAAAGAAGCAUUUGUCUUAGAGCUGUUAGAAAUAUCAAUUAGGUACUUUAGUGGAAAAAGUACACACAAACUUGUUUUACAUUUAAAGCAAUGUAAUGGCUCAGCAUAUAAAUGCAUUGCAUUCUAAUUAUUUUGUCUGUUUGUAGUAGUAAAUUGCUGAGCAAUUUAAACAUUUUAUAACAAAAACCUAGUUUUGCCUAGUUCAGUGGGAAAGGAUUAGCCAAUGUAUUGCACCUAUUUUAAUUUUUAUUAAAACUGUUUCUAAACAUGUUUUAAAAUUGUUAAAGAAAAAGAAUGCUUUUGAAAUAUAGAACGUAUAUAAAGACUAUAAUUUGCACAUGAAGAAUUGAUGCUAUAAUAUUUUCUGUGAAAAGAAUAAACUUCAAGCAAACUGUUGUGCUUUUAAAAUCGUAUUUUAUUAUAAUAGAAAUAUAUAGGGUAAACAAUGAAAAAUAGUACAGAGGUGAUGAAUUCUACCUUCUGUUUUGUCAUUAUACAAAGAAUUGUGGGAAAUUACAAAUACCCUAUACACUGAUAACAUUCAAAGAAAAUGUUUUAUUAAGUUUAUUGGUUAUUGUUCACUAAUUAUUUAAAAAAUAGCUCUUGUUCCUUUAUGCUGCCUCAGCUAAUGAAACAUCAACUUUCACAGGCUUAAUUAACAUUUAUAAACCUGUUUUCAUGUUUCAAGAUCCUUUAGUUGAAAAACAUUAUUUUAAAUGUUAUUUUUAGGAGCCAUUAAUCUCUACACUCUUAAUUAUCUUAUUAAGCUCCAUGCCAAAUCCAAAUCUCUUUUCAGCUUUCACUAGUUCAUUGUGCAAAACCUAGUCGCUUCUUUAACAGCCUUGCCUCCUUUCACUUUCAAAACUGUUACUGUGAAAACAGCACCAACCAAAAUGAAUGCAUAAAUGCAAACUAUGAAACCACAUUAUAUGUCAUAUGAGUAGCCUUGGGUGGGGCUCCAUGAGUCUUCCAAGCCUUUAAAAAAAAAAAAAACUUUAAAAGGUUUUGCCCAUUUUGGUAUUGUGUUUUCUUCUCGAUCGACUACCUUCAUUCCCACCAUACACCCAGAUGCUUCUCCUAGACAGCAGUUGUCUGACAUUUCUCCUUUUGUGGUUGUUUUAGGGAAAAACUUAAAGUGGAUAUGAGAAGUGAAGAAAGUGAUCAUAGGAGAAAAUCAUCUCAGGUGUUUCCUGUAAACUGGGUGCUUCACUGAAAUACCACAUUCAGAUCCUUUUCCUUUUUUGGUUUCAGCAAGAUUCAUACAAGGUAUUGUAUAUAUCCCACCAGGAAGCACAUAAACAGCCUGUCUUUACUGUGACUAAAUGGGAGGAGGUUUGUGAUUUUAUAAGUACUUAAUUAUGAUUGUAUCAUCCAGGAGUUAAAUAUUUCAAAUUCAUAUGUUGUAUUUAAUAUAUCAUUCUUUCAUGAUAUUUCAAAAAGAUCACCUUGAUCUCCAAAGAUUCCAUCAACUGAGCAAGUUUGAGCACCAUCACCAUAGUGGCUCAGACAUAAAGAAUUUGCCUCCAGUGUAGGAGACCUGGGUUUGAUCCCUCCGUUGGAAAGAUCCCUUGGAGACAUGAAAGGCUACCCACUCCAGUAUUCUUGCCUGGAAAACCCUAUGGACAGAGGAGCCUGGCAAACUACAGUCCAUGGGGUCCAACGAGUUAGACACAGCUGAGUGACUAACACUCCCACUUUCACUCUAGUGAAUAUCAAACUAUGGAUUAUUCCACUUGUAUGUCUAAAAUUGGAUUAAGUUAUUAAGAAAUUCCAAGUGAAGUAGCCUUGAACAAACGCAGGGUACAUAUGUUGGCAUCCGAUCUAAAACAAUCUAGAACAUUCUGAGAAAAGAAUGAGGAAUAGUGAAUUAGAAUUAGACUUUUGUGAUAACCUUUAACUUUAUAAGAACUUCAGAGAAGACCAUUAUGGACUAAAUUAUGGGGACAGUUCAAAGCAUCAGAAUAGUCUUGGUGGCGCAUGUGAACCAUUCCAACCUGCUCCCAGUAAGAUGGUACAACUCUGUCACUAUCCUGGAAUGCAGGGGGUGAGAUAAAAAUGUGAAGACUUUAUAUGAAAUAUCAGUUGGCAUUUAAAAACGGAAGUAUGUGUAUAUUCUUGAGAAGAGAAACAAAAAGCAGGUGAUUGUUUAUGGACUUUCAGAAGUGUAUGACUUUUUAAAUAGCCUCCUCUAUGGUCAUCUUUUUAAUUCCUUUUACAAAAGUAACCGUAAAAUUAGAGGGAAUUAAUUUAUAUUUAGUUCAUUAUUGGCAAUACCUUAAUGUAAUAUCCCUUGCCAGAUAUGAAGAGGAUAUAUCUUUCCUUUAUAUAUUUAUUAGGAAUAAAUAUAUUAUAGCUAGUUUUCCAUUUUUAUGGAUGCUUUGAGUUCAAAGCUAUGGUAUCAUAUAUAAAAUAUUACAAUUAUUCAAUAAACCAUCACUAAAAUUAUACCCAUAUUCUAUUUUGAAACUGAGAUAAAAUCUUAGACUCUGUGAACUGUAUUACUUUAAUGAACUUUCUUCAAGGUCCAAGGAUCCCUGAAUCUGUUUUAAUUCAUAUCAAUAACUGGAGAGGUUUUUCGAAGAAGUUACAUAAAUCUACAAAAUGAAGUGUUGGAUCUGUGACCUACUGCUUAAAUGCCCAUUCCUCCUAUUGCUUUUUACUGCUAAAGUAAGAGACAUAUUGCUUUGUUAUAUCAUUAUUACCAAUUUUAAAAAUAAUUUUCUGUUCUAAUUAAGAUAAUUAAUCUAAUAUGUACUUUUAAAAUUAUUUUUGAUCUUGUAUCUUACUUGUCACAGUUAGGAACCUAGAGUAGGUUGAGCAUUUUGAGCUAAAUGAUGAUGUUACUGUGAAGACUAUCAAGGAUACCCUAGGCAACCACAAACUUAUAGUGUCUACAGAGCAACAGCAAUAAGUCUGUGCAAUGUUAGGCCAGGGAUUAAUACCCUUUUAUAUGUAGGAUUCUUAUUAUUUUUAUUUCGUAUUUCAUAACAUUAUCAGGUCCAUGAAAUUUACUCCCUUAAGUGAAGUGCUUUUGUGUUGCUUGUUUUGACACUGCGUUUUGCUGAUUAGAAUACUAACAAAAUGUGUGAAAUGUAAUAUUCCUUACGCCAAGGAACAGGUUAGUUUCUCUAAAUAUGUGUUCAAUAAAACCCAUAGUCAGAAUUUUACUCAAGAACCUAAAAUUCAUUUGAGUAU